rnacentral:rRNA from 1 species
UACGUAGGGGGCAAGCGUUGUCCGGAUUUAUUGGGCGUAAAGAGCGUGUAGGCGGCCAGACAGGUCAGCUGUGAAAACUCGAGGCUCAACCUCGAGACGUCGGUUGAAACCGUCUAGCUAGAGUCCGGAAGAGGAGAGUGGAAUUCCCGGUGUAGCGGUGAAAUGCGCAGAUAUCGGGAAGAACACCCGUGGCGAAGGCGGCUCUCUGGGACGGUACUGACGCUGAGACGCGAAAGCGUGGGGAGCGAACAGG